rnacentral:rRNA from 1 species
UACAGAGGUCUCAAGCGUUGUUCGGAUUCAUUGGGCGUAAAGGGUGCGUAGGCGGCGCGGUAAGUCGGGUGUGAAAUCUUGGAGCCUAACUCCGAAACUGCAUUCGAUACUGCCGUGCUUGAGGACUGGAGAGGAGGCUGGAAUUUACGGUGUAGCGGUGAAAUGCGUAGAUAUCGUAAGGAAGACCAGUGGCGAAGGCGGGUCUCUGGACAGUUCCUGACGCUGAGGCACGAAGGUCAGGGGAGCAAACGGG